rnacentral:lncRNA from 1 species
AGAGAUUGCACUUGGAAGAGUUUACAACACUAUUUCUUGAAUCAUCUUUUGGAUUGCUUGAGUAAGGAGGGUCUCAUUAACACUUUCUUGUUCUUGAUCAGACUUUAUAGAAAUAAAAGCAAAUUGGCUCCAUUUAUUUUUCAAAAUUCUACAAUUUAGAAUGAUGUGUCUUGGCUUCUUGUAAUAGUUAUAUAAAUUUUUCUUCUUACAACUUGACUAAACAUGGCUAAGUUCAUUGCAAUGUCCGCACCACAUAUCUUCUCUACUUCAAUGCUUCUAUUUUGGCUAAAAUUUACCACUUGAAGUGAUAAAAGAUACAUCAACUGUAUUGGAUUUUGUGUCAAAUUGUGCCUAUGUAUUUAGUCGAGUUUCUUCACGAACUAAAUCUCCAAGAAUAGACUCCAAAGUGAGAUUUCUUAGAUU